AUUGAACGCUGGCGGCAGGCCUAACACAUGCAAGUCGAACGGUAACAGGAAGAAGCUUGCUUCUUUGCUGACGAGUGGCGGACGGGUGAGUAAUGUCUGGGAAACUGCCUGAUGGAGGGGGAUAACUACUGGAAACGGUAGCUAAUACCGCAUAACGUCGCAAGACCAAAAAGGGGGACCUUCGGGCCUCUUGCCAUCGGAUGUGCCCAGAUGGGAUUAGCUAGUAGGUGGGGUAACGGCUCACCUAGGCGACGAACCCUAGCUGGUCUGAGAGGAUGACCAGCCACACUGGAACUGAGACACGGUCCAGACUCCUACGGGAGGCAGCAGUGGGGAAUAUUGCACAAUGGGCGCAAGCCUGAUGCAGCCAUGCCGCGUGUAUGAAGAAGGCCUUCGGGUUGUAAAGUACUUUCAGCGGGGAGGAAGGGAGUAAAGUUAAUACCUUUGCUCAUUGACGUUACCCGCAGAAGAAGCACCGGCUAACUCCGUG
rnacentral:rRNA from 1 species